rnacentral:rRNA from 1 species
AUUGAACGCUGGCGGCAUGCUUUACACAUGCAAGUCGAACGGUAACAGGGUGCUUGCACCGCUGACGAGUGGCGAACGGGUGAGUAAUGCGUCGGAACGUGCCGAGUAGUGGGGGAUAACGCAGCGAAAGUUGUGCUAAUACCGCAUACGUACUGAGGUAGAAAGCGGGGGACCUUCGGGCCUCACGCUAUUCGAGCGGCCGACGUCUGAUUAGCUAGUAGGUGAGGUAAAGGCUCACCUAGGCGACGAUCAGUAGCGGGUCUGAGAGGAUGAUCCGCCACACUGGGACUGAGACACGGCCCAGACUCCUACGGGAGGCAGCAGUGGGGAAUCUUGGACAAUGGGCGAAAGCCUGAUCCAGCCAUGCCGCGUGUCUGAAGAAGGCCUUCGGGUUGUAAAGGACUUUUGUCAGGGAGGAAAUCCCUAGUGCUAAUAACACUGGGGGAUGACAGUACCUGAAGAAUAAGCACCGGCUAACUACGUGCCAGCCGCCGCAGUAA